GAAAAGUCAGAUUGCUACCAUCAAAGUGUAAAGAUAAACGCUUUUGCUUUUCCAAAAGUCACUAUAUCAAGCUCUGCGCUCAUAAUGUGGCUCUCUCUCUCUCUCUCUCUCUGUCUCUCACAGUCUAAUGAAUUGCACAUAGAAGGAGAGUUUCAAGUUGUUGCAAAUUAUGGCUCUAUGCACAAAUUUCUUGCUCUUCAGACAAAACUAAAAGGUAUGUAUAUGUUGCAACAUUGCUUAAAAAGAAGGAAAAAUCUUUGAUGAAAAUGAUUGAUAUCUUUAGAAUUGUAUUAUUUUCACCAUUGAGUUCACAUCUUUCUUCUUCGGGCAUUUCUUGUAUUGAGUUUUGUUUUUGUAUGAACCCAUCAUUUUCUCAUGCCCAAUAUGUUUGGUAAAAUCAUACAAGUUAUGGGCUUCUUUUUCUUUGAUUCAUUUCUGUCUAUGUGUUGGUUUUUUGCCAUAUUUGUUCUAUAAAUAACCCAACCCACCUUAUUUCUCUCUUUUCAUGUGCAAAAUUUUACCAGAAAUAAUGCAAUGUUUUGUCUGAAUUCCUUUCUGUCUUUGCUGUUUUUCUCUGUUUGGAUAAGGGUUUUAUUAAACCAAGCCAAACAUACCAUGUAAACAUUUAUUUAAAGAAACAUACAUUGGAAAAGAAAUUUCCUUCAUAGUUAUUUUGGACUUGAUGGGAACUAAUUUGGUCAAGAAUAUCAGUUUGAAAAAUGCAGAUUUUGAAUUAAAUUCACAUUUUGUGUAAUGCAUUUGGUGUUUAAAUUUUAUGAGAUAACUAAAAAUUUCUGUGAACCUCAUUUAUAUCUGGAACCCUACUUUUCAAAGUAGAAAAAAUCUUUACAUUUCAAUCAAUAUUAACGAAUUAUUCUGAAGGUACAUAUUUUUUAAUCAGACUUUAUACAUGAAGACAGCUAUCUCCCUGUAAUUUGCCUCUGUCAAAAACCAUUUUUGACAGCAAUCAAUCCUUGUGAAACAGCUAUUUUCCUGUAUAAAAUUUGUUAAAAAAUAUGUACUUGUAACACUUCUUAUAUUAACAUGUUCCAAUCUCAUUAAUUAAAAUAUGAUCUUCUUUCUUCUGAAAAAGUAAGUCUACACUGGAAAUUUAUGAUUAAUUAAAAGGGGCUUAUUAUAUUUGACUGAAAGGUAAAAGCAAUUCUUUGGGAAAAGCAACCUCGUUAGUAGCCUAAUUAACUGCAAAAAAAAAAAAAAAACGCCUCCCUAUAAUCAAUCCACAAACGAAUGAAUGUUAGGCCACAAACAAUCUUCAAUCUUGGGGUAGGGUUUAGUUGCAGUCUCGAAAAAAAGAAGGGCCUCGAAAUUGCUGCCUGUUUGUCAUCUGUCAGGUACCCUACACCCUCCCCCAAAGCUAAAACAGUUUGAACUUUGAAAUGGUGAUUGGUGAUUGGUGAUUGGUGAUUGGUGAACGCGACAAUAGGGGAGGAUAGAAGAGGGAUUUCCUUGAUUUUCAAGGCUAAAAUAGGAAACCAAAACGGGACAGAGUUUGCUUGCGCAAAUCUAGCUAAACUGGCAACAGGACUUUUGGGCCAAGUAGUAUUUAAAGUAGUAGACAAGAGAAUGGGUGCGGGGAGGGGCAAGCGAGGGAUUGUUGGGGCUAGAAUUAGAGCGGUUAAUAGAUUAGAUUUUGAUCCGAAUCCAAUUCGAAUUUGAUAAAAUUAAAGGACGAUAAAUAUUAGGGAUGGCCGUGGGGUGGGUUCAGGGCGGGACGCCCUCCUUAGAUGGGGGGGCGCAGGACGGGGACGGAGCAAUUUUUUGCCUCAUAUAAUUUUUUUUUACAUUUUUAAAAUUUUGAGUUAUAUUAUUAUUAGAGAAUAAAAUAAAAAUUCAAAAUGAGUUUUUAACGGGUGAAUUGUUUAGAAAUAAAGUUUUUUUUAUUUUUUUUAUUAUUUUUUCCUUCACGGGGCGGGGCAAGGAUGCCCCCUCGCACAUGCACCACCACAAACCCGUUCAGGACUGGAAGGGACGGGAUGAAUUUUUCUAUCAUUACUAAUAAUCUUUGUCCGAUAAUUCGAUUGAGAACCAAAUUUAAUAAUCGAUUAACUAAAUGAAGCAAAUAUGGAUAUAGAUCAAUUCGGUCCUAUAACAACUAAAUCUGAUUUGUUAUGAUAAAAUAAUAUAUUUUAUUUAUUACCUCAUAAUUCAUUACAAACAAUUUUUUUAAUAUUAAAACUUGUAUUAUGCUUUAUGACUUUUAAUGAAAAAAUGUCGAAUAUAUCAAAUUAAUUAAUAUAUAUUAUACUCCCUCCAUCCCAUUUAUAUAGACUUGUUUUAUUUUUCACACGAAUUAAGGAAUAUUAUUUAAUAUUAUUGAAAAAGCAAAUUUUGCCAAUAAAUUACCUAGUUUACCUUUAUUUAUAUUUGUUCAAUUUCAAAAUUUAGUAGAAAAAUGGUUAUAAUUAGGCAAAUUAAAUAAGGGUAUAUUAGUAAACGAACAGAACAAAAUAAGUUCGAUAAAAAACAUGACUAUAUAAUUGGGACAAGAAAAUAUGAAAUGUAAGUUUAUAUAAAUGGGACGGAGGGAGAAUCCCCUCUUUCCAAUAAAAAAUAAUAUAUGUAAAACAUUUUCAAUCGAAUAUCCGAUAAACAUAGCAAAUGGAAUAUGUAAUUAAUAAUCAAAUAUCUAUUGAAUUAUCGAAUUAGAUGUGAUUGGAUUUAUAAAUUAUUCUUAUUGGAUCGGAUAUUAACAGAUCCAAUCUACUCCAUAUCCGAUCCAUUUAUGGUCUUCGGUGGAGUGAUUACGGGUGGGGUGGUGUGAGGUGAGGAUGACAUAUACAAUGUGUAGGUAUUUAUUGUUUGUAUGCGUACGAAACGCCAAACACAUAUUUUCAUGCUUAUUUACUUGGCCUUAUUAUGUUGAGAGAGACAGUCACCAAUGUAAUCCAAUAAACAUAUACAAACACAAAGCAAAGGCCUCAUGUCCUCAGUCUUUCUUUUCCCACUGAAGAAAUAGGACAACAAUACCUAUCAAAUCCUUUGGAAAAAAUAAAAAAAUUUCUUGAACAAUACAAAAAUGGUUUCUAAUCCCAAAACAGUGCCUUUGUUUUCUCACAUUUCAUCUCUUCAAGAUGAACCAAGAAACCCCUUUAAAUUAUCUUGAAAAUGGGAGUUGAAAAAACCCUUCUUCUCUUUAUAUUUUGUGUUCACAGGGUAAGAGGGUUUUGCUGGUGGUGGCGUCCAGGGAAGUUUUGGCAUAUAAUGAAGCCUGAUGCUAGAAUUUUCAAGAAAAUGGUGGUGGAGAAAUUGCCUGUUUUUUCUGGUUCUUUCGUGAGUUGGGCUGGUUUCCAAAAUCCAUAUUUGCUAGUGGGGUUUGGUUUCCUUCUCCUCUUCUGUUACGUAGGUGGCUUUUGACGGCGGCGUCGGUGGUGGUGAUAUUGGCGGGACGGCUCAAUCUUUUUUUUAUCUGUAACAUAAAAUUUUCUUCUCCACUAGAUUUGGCAUGUUCAUAAACAAUGGAUUUGCAAAGAGUUCAUAUAAUAACUCAUCAAGGUUGGCUUCUUUAAUUUCUAAUUUCUCAUUUUGUACUUAGCAUUGGACUGAUCUCUUUACUAAUAGCUUGAUGAUUUAGAUUUCUACCCCUUAAAAUAAUUUAUUUUUUGUAUUUUUGAUAACUAAAUAAGAAUUAGUUUCUGUAUUCUGCAUAUUUUGGCCGUGGAAAAUCAUUGACAUUGCACAGUACAUUAAUUAUGUGAGAAUAUCUUAAUAUGUUUG
rnacentral:lncRNA from 1 species